rnacentral:tRNA from 1 species
GUGGGGUUGUGGCUCAAUGGUAGAGCGCUUGCCUAGCAUGUGUGAGGCACUGGAUUCAAUUCUCAGCACCACA